CAACAGGGAUUGCCUUACUAACUGCGAGUGAAGCGGCAAAAGCUCAAAUUUGAAAUCUGACGUUUUUGACGUUCGAGUUGUAAUUUGGAGGGAUAUCUUCGGAGCUGGCACCGUCCUAAGUUCUUUGGAACCGGACAUCAUAGAGGGUGAGAAUCCCGUGCCUGGAUGGCUGUCAAGCUCCAUGUGAAGUGUCUCCGACGAGUCGAGUUGUUUGGGAAUGCACCUCAAAAUGGGUGGUAAAUUUCAUCUAAAGCUAAAUAUUGGCGAGAGACCGAUAGCGCACAAGUAGAGUGAUCGAAAGAUGAAAAGCACUUUGAAAAGAGAGUUAAAUAGUACGUGAAAUUGUUGAAAGGGAAUCGCUUGAUACUAGAUUCGGCCGGUGGUGAUCAGCCAUGCUUUUGCGUGGUGCACUUGCCGUCGGUUGAGCCAGCAUCGGUUCUGAUGGUGGGAUAAAGGUUCGAGGAAUGUGGCUCCCCAAUUGCGGGGAGUGUUAUAGCCUGGAGCGCAAUGCCACCUGUUGGGACCGAGGACCGCGCUUCGGCUAGGAUGCUGGCGAAAAGGUCU
rnacentral:rRNA from 1 species